AUUGAACGCUGGCGGCAUGCCUUACACAUGCAAGUCGAACGGUAACAGGUCUUCGGAUGCUGACGAGUGGCGAACGGGUGAGUAAUAUAUCGGAACAUACCUUGUAGUGGGGGAUAACUAUCCGAAAGGAUAGCUAAUACCGCAUACGCUCUAAGGAGGAAAGUGGGGGAUCUUCGGACCUCAUGCUAUAAGAGUGGCCGAUAUCUGAUUAGCUAGUUGGUGAGGUAAAGGCUCACCAAGGCGACGAGCAGUAGCUGGUCUGAGAGGACGACCAGCCACACUGGAACUGAGACACGGUCCAGACUCCUACGGGAGGCAGCAGUGGGGAAUUUUGGACAAUGGACGCAAGUCUGAUCCAGCCAUGCCGCGUGCGGGAAGAAGGCCUUCGGGUUGUAAACCGCUUUUGUCAGGGAAGAAACGAGUUUCUCUAAUACAGAGACUUAAUGACGGUACCUGAAGAAUAAGCACCGGCUAACUACGUGCCAGCAGCCGCAGUAAUAC
rnacentral:rRNA from 1 species